rnacentral:rRNA from 1 species
AGAGUUUGAUCCUGGCUCAGAAUCAACGCUGGCGGCGUGCCUAACACAUGCAAGUCGAACGAGAAAGUGGAGCAAUCCAUGAGUAAAGUGGCGCACGGGUGAGUAACACGUGACUAACCUACCUUUUAGUGGGGGAUAACCUAGGGAAACCUGGGCUAAUACCGCAUAAUACCUACGGGUCAAAGCAGCAAUGCGCUGAAAGAGGGGGUCGCGGCCGAUUAGCUAGUUGGCGGGGUAAUGGCCCACCAAGGCAGUGAUCGGUAUCCGGCCUGAGAGGGCGCACGGACACACUGGAACUGAAACACGGUCCAGACUCCUACGGGAGGCAGCAGUGGGGAAUUUUGCGCAAUGGGGGAAACCCUGACGCAGCAACGCCGCGUGGAGGAUGAAGUCCCUUGGGACGUAAACUCCUUUCGAUCGGGACGAUUAUGACGGUACCGGAAGAAGAAGCCCCGGCUAACUUCGUGCCAGCAGCCGCGGUAAUACGAGGGGGGCAAGCGUUUGUUCGGAAUUAUUGGGCGUAAAGGGAGUGUAGGCGGUUUGGUAAGUCUCGUGUGAAAUCUUCAGGCUCAACCUGAAGUCUGCACGAGAAACUGCCGGGCUUGAGUAUGGGAGAGGUGAGUGGAAUUCCUGGUGUAGCGGUGAAAUGCGUAGAUAUCAGGAGGAACACCUGUGGCGAAAGCGGCUCACUGGACCAUAACUGACGCUGAGACUCGAAAGCUAGGGGAGCAGACAGGAUUAGAUACCCUGGUAGUCCUAGCCCUAAACGAUGACUGCUUGAUGUGGCGGGUACCCAAUCCUGCCGUGUCGAAGCUAACGCGUUAAGC